rnacentral:rRNA from 1 species
CCUACGGGAGGCAGCAGUGGGGAAUAUUGGACAAUGGGGGCAACCCUAAUCCAGCCAUGCCGCGUGUGUGAAGAAGGCCCUCGGGUUGUAAAGCACUUUCAGUGAGGAAGAACGCCUGGUGGUUAAUACCCAUCAGGAAAGACAUCACUCACAGAAGAAGCACCGGCUAACUCCGUGCCAGCAGCCGCGGUAAUACGGAGGGUGCGAGCGUUAAUCGGAAUUACUGGGCGUAAAGCGCGCGUAGGUGGCUUGAUAAGCCGGUUGUGAAAGCCCCGGGCUCAACCUGGGAACGGCAUCCGGAACUGUCAAGCUAGAGUGCAGGAGAGGAAGGUAGAAUUCCCGGUGUAGCGGUGAAAUGCGUAGAGAUCGGGAGGAAUACCAGUGGCGAAGGCGGCCUUCUGGACUGACACUGACACUGAGGUGCGAAAGCGUGGGUAGCAAACAGGAUUAGAUACCCCAGUAGUC